AUGAAGGGGAUAAAUGACUUACGGGGUAUUUGCUGUGAAGGAAAACACUGUGUGAGCAGCAACUGGGGCAAACCCUCCUUUGGAGGUGGAACUCGAUUAAGGAUACGACCAAAUGUUACUCCAUCUCCUUCAGUGUAUAGGCUGACUUCUAAAGACAAUGAGGGUUUGGAAAUGUGCCUCAUCACAGAUUACUCCCCCGACAAGCUUAAAUCUGACRUGACUGAAACGAAGACAGAUGUCAUCGUGGAGACGGUAACAUCAGAGGAUAAGCAGGAAUCAAGCUACUUGUCAACGUACUGGGCCAACAGAAAUGAAAUGCAGUGCAGCGCAACGCAUGAGGGCUUUGGAGAGCUAGAAGGCCAAGAUCCUGAACAUGGUGCUAGCACUGUCUGCGUAACAAGAGUGUCCCAGCACUUCAGGACAGAUGAGAAGCUGAACCUGCUGUCGUUCUCCCAGCUGGGCCUGAAAAUAAUUUUCAUGAAAGGAAUCAUUUUUAACGUACUGAUAACAAUGCUUAUGUGGAAAAAAAAAGAAUGAAUGUAACCUGGCAGCACAGACCUGCAGCACCAUAUGCAAGAAGGAACAAAUUUCUCUUUCAACAAAUAUCACUUGCUGC